GUGCAGAAUUCAAGAAAAGACGGCUCUUUGAGUUUGCUCCUGAUCUAAGGCCUGGCUAUGGAAACAUCUGUACCAGCUCCUUGUCUUCGGCAGUAUGACACUGAGGAUGACCUUCUCCGUGACUACUGGAGAAGAGGAUACCAGUACUCUGAAAUUUCUCUUUUUUUAUCACAAUUUCACAAUGUUCACCUCAAAUUCGAGGCAAUGACAGACAUAACGUCAUCUUCGGGCGGGAUGAGGCUGGAUGCCCCACCAGACGACAACUUUGGCAAAUGCAUUACUCUGGUGCAUUUGACGAGGACCAGGCAAAUUUCAUCGGUGAAUGCAUCCAGAAAGAGGUGCCGGUCCCUCUGGAUUUGUCCUUGGUGAGACACAAUCUCCAAUGUGUUACAUUCUCAUCAUUUGUUAAUAAUUUUGUCUCACUUUAAGUUUUUAAAAUAAAGUUGAAUUUAAAUUACAACUAGGAAG